CGUCCUAAAUCGCAAAAUAUCGCAUUAGUAAAUAUAUAUAUAGUAAAAGUUGCCAUAGUUACCGUGGUCGGCUCCUGUUUUGAUGCGUUGUUUAGACCGGUAGAAUGAGAGGGCACGACGUCGCGGUUGUGACGUAGGCGGAAGUAGGAAAGGAACGCGGUGGUAACCAUGGCGACGGUCCACGGCGUGUAAUGCGGGUUCGUUACCUGCGCGGUGUUAUUAAACGGAAUGCGUGGAAGGAAGAUUCGUCCUCCAGAGAGACAUUUUCGUUAACAGGAGGCGACACUAAGGCUUCAUGGCCUCAACAUUUAAUGGCAGGUUAGAGGCUAUAUACUCGAGAGUACCUUCACUGACAUGAUGGACACCUUAAUUAACGAUCAACAAACAAGCCAAAAACAAGGACGAAGAAAUGGAAGAAACAACCUCAGGAAGAGAAGAACCCACUCCUUCUCUGAGUUAUAUUUACAUUAAAGCCUACAUCAGGGUUCUUUACUCACAUCGCCAGUAAGCUCUUCAUCCUGUUCAGGGUCACGGUGGAGCCGGAGUCUAUCCUGGGAACGCUGGACCCGAGGUCAUAACACACCCUUGAUAAGAUACGUUCGUUCACUCCUACACUCUUAAAAAAGGUUCUUCGGUGGUUCUCUACAGCAUCACAAGUCCUGCAUGCAACCUGGUUCUUGUCAAGAGCCGUUUUUCAUUGUAUUGGGUUCUCGAGUUGAGUUGUACGGUUCUCUGGAGAUUAAAGAAGUUCCGAAUGUUUCAUUAUA